rnacentral:rRNA from 1 species
GACGAACGCUGGCGGCGUGCCUAAUACAUGCAAGUCGAGCGAACCAAUAAGAAGCUUGCUUUUUGUUGGUUAGCGGCGGACGGGUGAGUAACACGUGGGUAACCUGCCUGUAAGACCGGGAUAACUCCGGGAAACCGGUGCUAAUACCGGAUAGAUUAUCUUUCCGCAUGGAGAGAUAAGGAAAGAUGGCUAUUGCCAUCACUUACAGAUGGGCCCGCGGCGCAUUAGCUAGUUGGUGAGGUAACGGCUCACCAAGGCGACGAUGCGUAGCCGACCUGAGAGGGUGAUCGGCCACACUGGGACUGAGACACGGCCCAGACUCCUACGGGAGGCAGCAGUAGGGAAUCUUCCGCAAUGGACGAAAGUCUGACGGAGCAACGCCGCGUGAGCGAAGAAGGUCUUCGGAUCGUAAAGCUCUGUUGUUAGGGAAGAACAAGUAUCGGAGGAAAUGCCGGUACCUUGACGGUACCUGACGAGAAAGCCACGGCGAACUACGU